rnacentral:rRNA from 1 species
AUUGAACGCUGGCGGCAGGCUUAACACAUGCAAGUCGAGCGAGCGGCGGACGGGUGAGUAAUGUCUGGGAAACUGCCUGAUGGAGGGGGAUAACUACUGGAAACGGUAGCUAAUACCGCAUACCAUCAAAUGUGCCCAGAUGGGAUUAGCUAGUAGGUGGGGUAAUGGCUCACCUAGUCGACGAUCCCUAGCUGGUCUGAGAGGAUGACCAGCAACACUGGAACUGAGAGACGGUACAGACUCCGACGGGAGGCAGCAGUGGGGAAUAUUGCACAAGGGGCGCAAGCCUGAUGCAGCCAUGCCGCGUGUGUGAAGAAGGCCUUCGGGUUGUAAAGCACUGUCAUCGAGGAGGCGGUACUCGAAGAAGAAGCACCGGCUAACUCCGUGCCAGCAGCCGCGGUAAUUC